AGAAGGAGAGAGAAGGAGAGGAAGAGAGGAGACACAGAAGAGAGGAUUCAUUUUGGGGUCUCCCCUCUUUUAUUCCCCUUUUCCUCCUCCGCCUUUUCUAACCAGUUCCUGGAUCUCACAAGUGAUCCUUGUUUUCCUUCCUCUCUGUCUUUACCUCUUUUCAUCUUUUUUUCCCUCUUCUCCCCUCUCCCCUUCCCUCUCACUUCUGUCCACCUCUCCUUCCCCCAAACCCCUCCCGCAUGCCCUCGCCCCCCUCCCAAAGCCCAGCUCCGAGUCCUCGCCCCCGGACCCGGACCCGGCCCAUUGUUAGCCGGCUUUUCCAGGGCAGCUAGGCAUCUGGCUCCAGAGGGAAGCGGAAGACGGGAGGCGGCUCUCAAAGCUUCCCAACCUUCCUGUGCCAUCAACUUUUCAGGAGUGGCUCGAGAAAGAUAGAUGCAUGUGCCAAGCAAGACAACAACCCCAGGUCCAUGUGUCCAAAUCCCUGUAGCCAGGGCGGCGGCCAACCAAAGCAAUGCCACCCGGAGCAGGCUCCUGCGGCUCCUGGCAUUCUGGGUUUCAUACCCGUAGGGCUCGGGUGCGGAGCCCAAGAACAGAUGUGGGAGAAGCAUCUCUGGCUGUGAGAGAAACACCCAGAUCUCUACAGCUGCCUGGCUUUGCAUCUUCUGAGCCUUUCUCUUUUUCUUAAAAUGUGAGAAGGUUUCCUAAAAGCAGCUCCUGUGGACCCAAGAGAUACCCCCAAAAUGGCUCCAGUGCCUAUUUCUAAAGAUCACCUGAGGGAGCUUCUCAGGGGAAAGAUAGAGGCCAUGAUGAUGGAUAUUUUGGAUUGCAAACAAAAUGGCGACAUUUUUCACCUCCGUCUCUGAAAGAUACAAUCCAGGGAGAAGGAGGAUUUAUUUCUCACAUCAGAUGCUUCUGAUCCUGAGACGCAGGUGGUUCCUCAUUUCCAAUUUAGAAAGGAGAUGUUGAUGGGGAUACAGUUCUGAGGUUUUCACUUUCUGAAUUUGGUUCCUUCUCCAAGCAAUUCUUUACUCUGAAGGUAAAAAUAUUUCCCUUUCCUGUGCCUGCUUUUGCCCCUGCCAGCCAGUCAGUAGGCAGCCCUAUCCUAAAUCCAGGAGUAGAAAUGUAAUGUUUAGCUCUUGCAGCAUCAAAUGAAAGAAGUACUUAUAAAAUUGCAUUUUUAUUAGAAAGAUACCAAUCUCCUUUCUCUCUCCUCCUCCCCCUGGGGCCAUAAAAGGAGAGCCAGGAGGGAUGAAGGAGAGGAAAUAAAUCCAGAGGAUGCCAAAUCCUAAAUUCCGGGAGGAAGCCGACGCUGGGAGUCUAGCAGUCCAGGGCAGGGCUGGGGAGGCUCCUGGGAGGUCAGCCUUUCUUUUGCUGGAGACCUGGGCGAGGUUCUGUCUCCUUCAGGCCGCCUAGCUCCCAGGGGCGAUAUUAGGACUGAUUCUUUCCUCCUGGAGCGAUGAGGGACGGAAAAAGCAUCCACAGAGAGUCCGGUUGCUCCAGAAAAUGCUCGGCAUCCUCCGCGAGGCUGGUGAUGCCCAGGGUUGGGGCACUGGCUGGUCCGCUUUGACCUGGAGGAAGAUCUUGGAGAAGACGGCCCAGCGUCACUCCCCGGCGGGGCCUCUCGGGCACCUGUGCGGCCCCGCCGCGCUUCGGGCCGGCUGCCUUUUGUUUCCCCCGCACUCGGCGCUCCGCAGCCCCUGCGCCCGCGCAGGCCCCUCGGCGGCAGCUGGGAACCAGGCAGCCCAGCGGGCUGGCGCUCGGCGCGUCCAGAGCCGCCCGCCUCCAGGAGCUCCUGCAGCCUUCCCAGGAAUUGCCGUGCUCCCAGGCGCGCCGCCUGGCCAGGCCCCACUCCGGGCUGGAAGGCUUGCCGCGGCCUGCUCAGCCACUUCGCCUCUGCCUGGAUUUCACGCAGACCCCCUUCUUCGGCCAAAGAACCCCUUCUGAACACGGAUAUUAUUCAGAAUAAAAACUUUAUUUAUUUA